CCAAGUGGAGUGGCUUAAUGUUAUGGGGGUUUAUAAGUAAUUUUACGUAAAGAAUAGUAAGCAAUCACAUAAAUAGCUGAGAACCAGAAAACCCUAGAGAUUUGAUAUGGCUGCCAAUCGAUACCUUGGUAUUGAUAAAAUUGUGAAAUUGUAUUCAGAGAGUUUCACGAUGGUUUUAAAGGGAUCUGGAAAAAGCAACUUACGGCGAGGUCCCAAUGGUCUUGAAGGGAUCUGUGAUCUGGAAAAAGAGCAUUAGGGAGCCUUGGAAUAAUGAAACUGAGAAGAUAACAAUAAUCGUAAAAUUGAAUGGAAAAUGUUGCCCGGCUCCUGAUUCUCCUCUGUAGGUUGAACACCACCACUAUCUGUUACUCCGAUGUGAGGAAGUUGAGAUGUACCGAUAUAAUGUUGUGGGCAUACAAGGACACUUGCAAAAAAUUGAAGAAGACUCUUCCUUAUCCUCUUGUUAUUCCUCUCAAUAAGCAAGUUUCACAAUUGCAUUGAAGGGAACCAGAAAAAGAGCUAGUGUGAUCUUCUCCAGCAUACUCUGCUCCUUUGUUCCACACAAGCUACCGCAUCAGUUUCUCAACUAUAAGAGCAUUUCACAUCUGUCUUGCAAGGAGCCUGGAAAAGAGGUUGCAACAUAAGUGAUUGCAAAAGUGAAAUACUUACUUUGUGUAGGUUGCAACAUAAGUGAUUGCAAAGAACUAUCAAUCCACUUUAGAGAUCGACGACCAGAUCCUAAGGUUUGUACCACUAUUUCAUUGCCUAAGCCUUCUUUCUACGCGUAGUUAACUAGCUUCUCAAAUGUUUUCAGUGUUGUCUUCAACCUACUGUUCUCCUGUAUGUGAAAUCAUCAUGUACUUAAAUGAGCAAGAAAUAUAUCUAUUGCUGUAUAAAUAAAGCAAUAUAGAGGACAUGUCAAUAAUAUUUACCGGCAAGUCAUAAAGUAUAACAA